GCAAAGGUAGCAUAAUAAUUUGCCUCUUAAUUAGAGGCUAGAAUGAACGGACCUUCUUUGUUUAACUGUCUCAAACCUAUAACCAAAACCUUUUAUCCAAGUGAAGAAACUUGGAUUCUAUAACAGGACCAAAAGACCCUAUAGAGCUUUAUAAAGGGAAUAAAAUUACCAUUCAUACCUUUAUUUCAUUGGGGCGAUGAAAGAACUUACCUUCUUAACUUAUUCUAAGUCACAACUUCACUUCCCACGCUCUACCUUGAGGACAAAGAAAAAGCUACCUUAGGGAUAACAGUCUAAUUUUCCUCGAUAGCCCACAUCUACAGGGAAGAUUGGCAC
rnacentral:rRNA from 1 species